UGUCAGCAGCCGCGGUAAUACGGAGGAUCCAAGCGUUAUCCGGAAUCAUUGGGUUUAAAGGGUCCGUAGGCGGUUUGAUAAGUCAGUGGUGAAAGCCCAUCGCUCAACGAUGGAACGGCCAUUGAUACUGUUAGACUUGAAUUAUUUGGAAGUAACUAGAAUAUGUAGUGUAGCGGUGAAAUGCUUAGAGAUUACAUGGAAUACCAAUUGCGAAGGCAGGUUACUACAAAUGGAUUGACGCUGAUGGACGAAAGCGUGGGUAGCGAACAGGAUUAGAUACCCUGGUAGUCCACGCCGUAAACGAUGGAUACUAGCUGUUGGGGGCAACUUCAGUGGCUAAGCGAAAGUGAUAAGUAUCCCACCUGGGGAGUACGUUCGCAAGAAUGAAACUCAAAUGAAUUGACGG
rnacentral:rRNA from 1 species